AAUAGGAAAAUGGCAAAUUGGAUUUUUUUCUCCUGAUUUUCAACUUUUUCCUCAUCAAAAAAUUCAAAUCCAACUAAAAAUACUAAAAAUCAAGAGAAAAAAUUUGAUUUAUCAUUUUCCUAUU
rnacentral:pre_miRNA from 1 species